AGAAGAAGAAGAAGAAGAAGACUGAAACAGUAUUUCUGCGGUGGCGCUUACACUGAACCUUUAUGACCGAUGAGACUGCAAAAGCUUAUUAAUUCGAAGAUCAAAUAUUUCAGAUUUCUGCUGACUGGAAAAAGAGAACGAUCAGCUAUGUCUCCGUGGAGCCAGUAACUCAUUAAUCGGUGACAAUAACCAGCUGGUUAGCCCAUACCGAGGGUCCUGUUUGUGUUCUGCGUGGGUCCUGCUUGCGUUUAGCGCGACACUGACCUGCCGCUUGCAGCCGGACUUCGGGCUUGAGCACGGCAUCGAGCAGCCUCCUCUGACGGCAGAUCUCCCGCUCCGAGCGCUCUACUCUGUCCUGGUACUCCGCCACGGUCUCCUCCAACAGAGCGACGAUCUCCUCCGCGGCCACCGUCAGCCGCUCGGUCAGCAGCGCUCUCAUCGUCGGGAGCUCGGCUGCUUCUUCUCCCUUCUCCAGCCGCAGCAACAAGUCUUCGGCGGCGGCGCUGAUCCGCUCGUGGACCGACACUCGCAGCAGCUGCACGGUGCACAUUCUGCGGCUUCUCCCUGCCGGGAGCCUCCGGGACAAAGAGAGCCAGCAGGAAUGUAAACACGCUGCGAGUUCCGAGUCGAGGAGCGCGGUGCGGAGAGAGCGAACAGCGCCCCUGCUGAAGCGGAGGCUGUCGGAGUCAGAGGAGAGUUCCGGAGUCUCCUUGCUACUUUCUGGUUGUGCGGGACAUUUUUAGCCAGAAGUUAACGGCAUGUGAGUCAGCAGCUGAAGCCGGAACAGAUCAGAAAGCCCUGAGAAAAAGGUUUCACAUUCAGUGAUAGCAUGGUUUACUCCAAAUCUCAGCAGGGUCAUUCUGGUGAUCCACUGACAGGUGCCCCUUCACCUGUCAGUGGAUCACCAGCUUCCUGACUGACAGGCAGCAGCUGCUGAGGCUGAGGAGCAUCACAAUGCCACACACAGACCAUCAGCACCAGCCUGCCCCAGGGGUGUGUUCUCUCCCCACUGCACUUCUUCCUCUACUCUGAUGACUGCACCUCAGGAGAACCAUCUGUGAAACUCCUGAUACAGAACAAUGACAAGUACACAUGCAGACAGGAGGUGAUGCAGUCAGAACCUGGAGCUGAAGCCUGUGAAGAUGACAGUAGACCUUUUGGAGAGAGUCUAUAAACUACAAACUAUUUUUAGUUUUCUUUGCUCUUUUUUUUCUAUUUUCUGUGUCCUCCUGCAAGUCUUUUGGUCUUUUUUUCAAUCAGCCAUUUCCUCCUCUCGUCAGACUCCAGCUCUGUCUCUGUGGGGCUGCCUUCUUCCUACAGCCUUGUGAAGAACAGGUUCAAAGUAUUUGAACUUCGGACUGAUGUACUGCAGUUGAAUGGCCUGCAUUUGUAUAGCGCUUUUCUAGUCCAUAGGACCCCAAAGCGCUUUACACUACAUUCAGUCAUUCACACAUUCACACACUGGCGAUAGCAAGCUACAUUGUAGCCACAGCUGCCCUGGGGCGCACUGCAGAUGCAGCAGCAGACUGAACCUCGACUGAAACCUGCUCCAUCAUCUCAUCUUUGCAGAUGUCCAUUUAUAAAGCAUCAACAACUCAAAGGUAAACAUGAUAUUAGAAAAAGUGUUAGUAAGGCCUUUAAAACAAAUAAAAAAAUAAACAGCUGUCGGCAGAACUGUAGGACUGAACAACUUCAGAUCCCGAGUGUGUGAGGCCGGAGAAGGAUCAGCUCUAUUUCAGAUUUGAGAGAUAAACUUUAUAUUUCAGUUUGUGAUGAUUCUGUUCUGUUUGUGAUUACAGGAGCCGUCCUCAGAUUCAGACCUCAGCACCACCCAGUGACAGCAGACAGAUCAUCCUAUAUCUUCAAUCUUUGUAGUAACUCCAAAAUUAACUGAAGAAAACAGUACAAAGGUUAAAGUACCACAUGUGCUGUCAGUGAAAGCUGCAGCUGUUUUAUUGAUAAAUUUAAAGACAAAAAGUCAAAAGGAUUAAUCACCCCUGUAACUGUGUCACUAUACAUCAGCAUUAACAGGACCUCAGUUUGGUGUUUCAGAAAACUGCUGAUCUCAGACCUGCACAACUUCUGUUUUAAACACUGAAUGUACUCAGCUACAUGAAGAGCACGUGAUGUUUUCUCUGACACAAUUAAAUAAAACCUGAUUAAAAGUCAAAGGUUGUUACUUGUAUUUGAACUAAAAACUUGUGAUCUGGAAUUCUUUCACUGUUUUUUGACAAUAGUGUGUUAUUUAUCAUAAAGUAAUUCAGAGUCAUUCAUACCAGAGUAACCAGUGAGCACAACAUAUAUUUAACUUUCUACAGGACUUAAAGCUAUUACUAUAGCUUAUAGCUAUAGCUAUUAACUGCACUACUGUAUAGUUCUGUGUAAAUAAUCAUUCUGUACAUAUGAUGAUUUUUAAUCCUACAACUGUUUAUAACCUGCAUAGUUCACAUUUCUGUAGUUUUUCAUAUUUAUAUCCUGUUCAUAUCCUGUACAUAGUUUGUACUCACUACAGCCUGUACAUACUUAUAGUUAUAGAAUAUUCACAACAUACUUCAUACCGUGUACAUUAUAACAUACCAUAAUAGACCCAUUUCUGUAAUAUACUUACAUAUCUAUAUUAUUGCUAAUAUAUAUUGUAAUAUAUCUAUAUCAUGGCUAAAGCACUUCUGGAUGGAUGCAAACUGCAUUUCGUUGCCCUGUACCUGUGCAUGUGCAAUGACAACAAAGUUGAAUUCUAUUCUAUUAAAAGUCCAGACCCUCUGAGGAUUAUCUGAGUACUUCUAACAUUACACAAAGCAAAGGUCUCCAUCAGUGUUCAUGAAAUGCUGGGUUUAUCCUUCUUGUGAGGGAGCUGCUGGUGAAGAUCACGAGCCCUGCUUGAUCCCGGCGAUGAGUUUCAGUCUUCCUGGUGUUUCUGAAAUGAUUCCUCUCACUGUGGGUCAACAGAACUUCUGGCACAGGACAGCUGUAAUGAAAGAAAUUGAAGU
ensembl:lncRNA